rnacentral:rRNA from 1 species
UACGUAGGCAGCGAGCGUUGUUCGGAGUUACUGGGCGUAAAGGGUGUGUAGGCGGUUGCUUAAGUUUGGUGUGAAAUCUCCCGGCUCAACUGGGAGGGUGCGCCGAAUACUGAGCGACUAGAGUGCGGGAGAGGAAAGUGGAAUUCCUGGUGUAGCGGUGAAAUGCGUAGAUAUCAGGAGGAACACCGGUGGUGUAGACGGCUUUCUGGACCGUAACUGACGCUGAGACACGAAAGCGUGGGUAGCAAACAGG